rnacentral:rRNA from 1 species
AGGACGAACGCCGGCGGCGUGCUUAACACAUGCAAGUCGAGCGGUAAGCCCUUUCGGGGUACACGAGCGGCGAACGGGUGAGUAACACGUGAGUAAUCUGCCCUCCACUUGGGGAUAAGCUUCGGAAACGGGGUCUAAUACCUGAUACGACAACUACCUGCAUGGGUUGGUUGUGGAAAGUUUUUUCGGUGGGGAUGUGCUCGUGGCCUAUCAGCUUGUUGGUGGGGUAAUGGCCUACCAAGGCUUCGACGGGUA